rnacentral:rRNA from 1 species
GACGAACGCUGGCGGCGUGCCUAAUACAUGCAAGUUGAGCGAUGAAGCUUGGUGCUUGCCCCAAUUUGAAGAGCAGCGAACGGGUGAGUAACGCGUGGGGAAUCUGCCUUUGAGCGGGGGACAACAUUUGGAAACGAAUGCUAAUACCGCAUAACAACUUUAAACAUAAGUUUUAAGUUUGAAAGAUGCAAUUGCAUCACUCAAAGAUGAUCCCGCGUUGUAUUAGCUAGUUGGUGAGGUAAAGGCUCACCAAGGCGAUGAUACAUAGCCGACCUGAGAGGGUGAUCGGCCACAUUGGGACUGAGACACGGCCCAAACUCCUACGGGAGGCAGCAGUAGGGAAUCUUCGGCAAUGGACGAAAGGCUGACCGAGCAACGCCGCGUGAGUGAAGAAGGUUUUCGGAUCGUAAAACUCUGUUGGUAGAGAAGAACGUUGGUGAGAGUGGAAAGCUCAUCAAGUGACGGUAACUACCCAGAAAGGGACGGCUAACUACGUG